GCACCUGCAAAAUCAGGUGUCAGGAUUGGAACCCUGGAAACGUUACAGGCGACAUAUGACGCGCUAGCGUCAUUUUU
rnacentral:sRNA from 1 species